rnacentral:lncRNA from 1 species
AUCGAUCCAAUGUGUUGUUUUUAUUCUAAAAAUUUUAUUAUACGAUUUUUCGGUUUACAUAAUAUUCUCACAAGCUCAAAACUCUUAUUUUUGGUACAUCACAAACUCAAAACUCUAUCCUUAAUAAUAACAACAACAUUGAUAUUGGAAUUCUAGAUCCGGACACUUGCCAGCAGACCUGCCACCUUUUGGGAAUUCAUUGUUAAGACAAUAGCUAUUGCAAUCUGGGGUUUGUAUGCAUACAAUUCGGCAUCGUGCGCUUUCGUCUGCUCCAAUUGUCAAUCCUGCAAUCAUUUAAUUAUUGUGCACUGUCAGAAAAAAUUGAUGUAAACAAGAAGAAAAUGAAAAUUCAUAUAGAGUAUUUGAGAUGGUAAAUUUUAUAUUGAAAGUGAAACUCAAUAACAAUUUUUGUGUUACCUGAAGAGAGAAUCAAAGCCAUACACAAAAACAAGCAAAUAAAGGAUCGAUUAAUGGAAAAAGCCAUUGUGUGUGAUUUCACCUUAUGUUGUAUUUUGUGUGAUAUGAUGC